UGCAAAUGCAUAUGGGUUAAUGAU
rnacentral:siRNA from 1 species